rnacentral:rRNA from 1 species
UAGAUGCGAGAGUAGAGCAUAUCAAUAAGCGGAGGAAAAGAAACUAACAAGGAUUCCCUUAGUAACGGCGAGUGAAGCGGGAAGAGCUCAGAUUUGAAAUCUUCAAGGUUCUACCUUGACGAAUUGUAGUUUAUAGAAGUGUUUUCUGUUAGUGGAGUGGCAAAAGUUCUUUGGAAUAGGACAUCAUAGAGGGUGAGAAUCCCGUAUUUGGUCAUUCUUUCUAGCUUUGUGAUACACUUUCAACGAGUCGGAUUGUUUGGGAAUGCAGUCCAAAAUGGGUGGUAAAUUUCAUCUAAAGCUAAAUAUUGGCGAGAGACCGAUAGCGAACAAGUACCGUGAGGGAAAGAUGAAAAGAACUUUGAAAAGAGAGUUAAACAGUACGUGAAAUUGUCAAAAGGGAAGCGUUUGACACCAGUGUUGUUUUCUCGAAAAUCAAUUAAAAAUGGUGGGAUUUUGUGUUGUAUUGACUUUAUCAGCUUUCUGCACUUUUUUCUUGUCUUUUUUAAUGCACUUUUCGUUUAACAAGUCAACAUCAAUUUCUUUUGUUGUAAAAGAGUUAUUGGAAGGUGGCUUUCAUUUCGGUGAAAGUGUUUAUAGCCUUUGACUUCUGCAAUCGGAGAGAUUGAGGUCUGCAGCGUAGAUCCUUCGGGGUUAGAUACAUUUGUGCUAAGUUAUAGUUUUUCAUAGACAACAUGUUGACUAUGAUUAAUCAUGUAGCUUACUCGCUUAUGCUAUUUUACCUACGCUUAGGAUGUUGACGAGACUGUCGAUCUC